CCAUGCAUUACUGGGUGGGCCUCCCUUGGCAGUGGCCGAUCGAUCGAGCUGAUCAACCAUGCAAUUAGCCACUGCCAAAGGAGACUUGCCCAGCAAUGCAGAU
rnacentral:pre_miRNA from 1 species